ACAGAAAUAGAAGCGCCAGGGCUGACUAUGUGAUAGGCAGCUGACGAGGUGGAGGUUUAUCGAAUCAUUCGGCGGAUGCCUCCCGGUACCUUAUCAGUACCGUAAACGUACUUGAAAUCGUCUAAGUGAUUAGACGGACAAACAAGUACGUGAUGAUAAC
rnacentral:ncRNA from 2 species